rnacentral:rRNA from 1 species
GAUACUUGAAGCUAACGUGUACUAAUUGAUCGUGAGGCUUGACCAUAUAACACCCAA